rnacentral:misc_RNA from 1 species
UCUCCGUUGGUGAACCAGCGGAGGGAUCAUUGCUGGAAGCGUCUCACGGCGCACCCAGAUACCCUUUGUGAACCUAUACCUAUCUGUUGCCUCGGCGGGCCUCGCGCCCGCCGGCGGCCCCUUACUCUUUGCCUCUCGCGUUGUCUCUCCGAGUAUCGCAGAAUGCAUAAAAACUUUCAACAACGGAUCUCUUGGUUCUGGCAUCGAUGAAGAACGCAGC